rnacentral:snRNA from 1 species
CCUGUCGGGACCCGAAAGA